CCCACUUUAAAUAUGGCGGUAGUAAUAGUGCUACUAGUGUUCAGGGAAGACUGAGAACCUAGAAGUGAUAUCAGUAUUUGUAAAUCAGCUGAUCAAGAAGUCAGAGAAACCUGGAAGUGACAUUAACAUAUACAACGUCAGUUGUUGCUUGUUCUGUGGUGUGAAGCGCCAAUCCACCAAUUUUUCCUGUUGUGUUUGUACAUUAAAACAGUCAUACCUCCCAAGCGUCAUGUAUCUGGUGGAGGUGGUGCUGAAGGUAAACUCACAGGAUAUAACUAUCAGAAAUCACAUACCCAAUGCUAAUCUCUUGCUUUCAUCUUU